GCUUCUGAUUUCAGUUUGGGACCCACCCUGGAACCUGAGGAAGUGGUAGACAAGCUGAUGAAAGGGAUCCUGACUGACCAGAAAAUGAUUUUUAUUCCAUCUUCUGUAAGCCUUUUAACACUGGUGGAAAAGAUCUUUCCUGAGCGUUUCCUGGCAUUUUUAAAACGAAAGAUCAAUAUUAGCUUUGAUGCAGUUAUUGGAUAUAAAACUAAAGAACAAUAAGUCCUACAUAGACUACAGUCUACAUUUAGUUGCUGUGAAUACAUAUCUUCAAAAAUACCUGCUUUCCAAAACAUCGUUAUAUUUAAGUAGCAUAACUUAAAUUCUUCUUCAUUAGCUAUAAAUAAAUAGGACUGGUUUACCAGGGUUAAGUUGAUUUCAUCCAAUAUUAAUCAGAACGUUAAUGUUUAGACUUCUGCUUUUCCUAAUUAUCUUUUUUUUCUUCAGUGUCAUCUUUUGAGGCCCUGGCAGUCCUUAUUUAUUAUCACUUGUCCUUUAUCUGAAAGCCAAUUUCAUAUAAUACAAAGAGGGGACUAAUUUAGGAAUUGACCUUAUAGAAAAUGGAGAAAAGGAACAAAAAUAAUUUUAUAAUAAUUUCUAAGAUUUUGUGGCUUGUGAAGUCUUUGCAAAAUUUGUACUAUAACUGUGUAAGAUAUAUUUUUAUUUCUAAUUUCACUUAAAUUUAUAGAAUUCACGUUUCCUUUUCUAAUCUCCAUAAAAACAAAAGCUUCAGGCUCUCUAAAUCCAAUGAAGGACUGAAUCUAGUGGCAUUUCACAAUGAGUUUCAUGUGAUGUAAGAAAUAUCACUGAGGGGCACCUGGGUGGCUCAGCCGUUAAGCAUCUUGCCUUCGGCUCGGGUCCUGAUCCCAGAGUCCUGGGAUCGAGCCCCACAUCGGGCUCCCUGCUCCGCGGGAAGCCUGCUUCUCCCUCUCCCCCUGCUUGUGUUCCCUUUCUCACUGUGUCUCUGUCAAAUAAAUUAAAAAAAAAAAAAAAUCUUUAGAAAUAUCACUGAAACAUUUCAGCUUACACAUUACCACUCUGUUUCCUGAAAGAUGCCUCACAUUUCAAAGCCAAACAUUUCAGCUCAAGGAAACUAGAGAUUGACAUGUGUUGCACAUAUAUAAAAGCAUCAUUGGGAUUUGAGGCAGAGAAUUAGGAGAAUGUACCCAUAGUGGCAACAAUAAACAGAUCACACUUAAA